rnacentral:rRNA from 1 species
GACGAACGCUGGCGGCGUGCCUAAUACAUGCAAGUUGAGCGCUGAAGGUUGGUACUUGUACCGACUGGAUGAGCAGCGAACGGGUGAGUAACGCGUGGGGAAUCUGCCUUUGAGCGGGGGAUAACAUUUGGAAACAGAUGCUAAUACCGCAUAACCACAGAAACCACAUGGUUUCUGUGUCAAAGAUGGUUUCGGCUAUCACUUUGGGAUGGACCCGCGGCGUAUUAGCUAGUUGGUAAGGUAAUGGCUUACCAAGGCAAUGAUACGUAGCCGAACUGAGAGGUUGAUAGGCCACAUUGGGACUGAGACACGGCCCAAACUCCUACGGGAGGCAGCAGUAGGGAAUCUUCCACAAUGGACGAAAGUCUGAUGGAGCAACGCCGCGUGAGUGAAGAAGGUUUUCGGAUCGUAAAACUCUGUUGUCAGAGAAGAACGUGUGCGAGAGUAACUGCUCGUGCAGUGACGGUAUCUGGCCAGAAAGCCACGGCUAACUACGUGCCAGCCGCCGCGGUAA